AAACCAUGAUGAGGACAACGCCGAAGUAACUCUUUGUAUCUUUCUCAAGCUUCAUGCAACGAUUCUAAAUCUUGCUACAUGAAUGAUGUAAUAUCAUUCCUUAUUUU
rnacentral:snoRNA from 1 species